CGGGGGAACUUGCUGAACUGUUUCUCAGGCCAGACUGAAGAGCAAGACUCGACAGGUAGAGCUGUGGCGACCUCUGGUGGCGAAUGAUAAAACGUUUGAUUUUAAGACAAAAUGCACACGAUGCGAAUGAACCUGGUGAAAUGAUUGAUAUUUAGCCGUUGCAAUAUUUUUGGGCGGCCCGGUAGUCCAGUGGUUAGCACGUCGGCUUCACAGUGCAGAGGUACCGGGUUCGAUUCCAGCUCCGGCCUCCCUGUGUGGAGUUUGCAUGUUCUCCACGGGCCUGCGUGGGUUUUCUCCGGGUGCUCCGGUUUCCUCCCACAUUCCAAAAACAUGCAUGGCAGGCUGUUUGAACACUCUAAAUUGUCCCUAGGUGUGAGUGUGAGCGUGGAUGGUUGUUCGUCUCUGUGUGCCCUGUGAUUGGCUGGCAACCGAUUCAGGGUGUCCCCCGCCUACUGCCCGAAGACAGCUGGGAUAGGCUCCAGCACCCCCCGCGACCCUAGUGAGGAUCAAGCGGUUCGGAAGAUGAA